AAUUAGUUAAAAACUCUGAAGUGAUUCUUCAUAUUAAAGUCAUAAGUUAUACUCAAAGUUUUCUUGUUUCAGCCUUCCUUGCAUUUCACGUCAAGGCAAGCCUCCCACAUCUGAGAAGCAGAGUAUAUGCCCUAGAGUGCAGCUGCGUGAUGAUACACUCCCUGGAUGUACAGUUAUCACAAAAGGAAUUACGAGAGAAACAAUGACUUAGAUGAGCACAGUAGAAAAUGCAAGCAGGCCAUGUGUCUGGAUCCAGUCCUCUCCUCUGCAAGUGUUGUUGGCUUGUUCUGCUUAAGGUCUGAAGGAGACUUGAAAUGCAUCUUCUCAGCUACUCAGGCAAAAGUAUAAGAAGGGUGUUUCAUUACUUUUCUGGGAUUGUUCCUGUAAUUGUCACACACACAUAAGCUACAGCUUCCUAGUGAG
ensembl:lncRNA